rnacentral:lncRNA from 1 species
CGGUAUAGGAAUGUGCUGGCACGCCACAAGUUGGCCUGAAGAAUGUGGAGUUUCCGCAGCGCUAGAGAAGAUCCCAAGUGACAGUGGUUAGCCGCAUUCUUUCACUUCUAGAUCACUCUUAUCCAUUUAUAAAAGCAAAGCAACGGAAAUACGGAAAUAGGCUGGGGAUCUGACAUUUUAAUGCUUUCAGCAUCCUACAGCCCCGCACGGCCCUACCGCAGCAGGUGGAAUCCGCUGGCCGAUGCCACGUAACGUGGCUCCGCUCGUUUAUGGCCGUUCCAGCGGCUUCCUUGUGGAGGGUCCGGAGAAGCCUCUUGCCAUAACUUACACGAUAAAUGCAUUUUUCAGCAGCAUCCGUGCAGGAAUGAGCUUCCCAGAAUAAAACCCCCGGCAUAGUUCGAGGCAUGGCCUGAUGUGUAGGCGCAGGAGACGUGACUUGGGGAUCACCGAGUGGAAUCCCGUGGGCUGCGCUAUGCUGGGGGUCGGACCAUCACAGUCCCUUCUGGUUGAAGGGCUACGAUUUCUUUCUGCUCUGAACUGGUAAUCUCUGAAGAAGCUGAUCCAAGGAAAGGCGAGGCAGGCAAGGUGGCUUUGCACUUCCCGAAUCCUGGCACCGGAGAGAGACCCAACUGGUUAUCGAUAUUAAAUUAGAGCAGCUGCAGAGCUCUUCUGACGUCUGCUCAACCUGAAAUGCAGUGCAGCUAAGACACACUGGUUCAUCCCUGCUGGGGAUGGGAAAAGAGGGCUGGGGUAGAGCCUUUAUGGCAGGCCUACAACAGCUAAAGCAGCCUUGAAGAUUUCUAAUGGCCAAAGAUCAAGAGCACCGAUCUUGCCACUGCCAGGUUUUCAAGUCUCACAAGGCCAUUUUCACCCGUGAACUCUCCCGGGGGGUGAAGAGGACUUGCUUUGAGAAUCAGACCUAGGAAGUUCAUCCUUUUGAUGGCUGUUGGCUCUGUUUCCCCUCCUGGUAAUUAAGGCUGGACUUUCUUCCUUUCAUGGCUGACUUGCAGAUGUUACCACUCUUCUUGAAGAGUCCAGGCUACUGCUCAGGUUUAAUUAGCUGCCUAAUGUUUCCAGUCCUUUGGAAAAAAAAUAGUUUCAGUGGCAGGAGAACCCAGCUUGGCAACCAGAACAAGUUUC